AGAGUUUGAUCAUGGCUCAGAACGUACGCUGGCGGCACGCCUUAUACAUGCAAGUCGAACGAAGUAGCAAUACUUAGUGGCAGACGGGUGAGUAACAUGUGGGUAUCUUCCCUUUGGUGAGGAAUAACACGAGGAAACUUGUGCUAAUACCUCAUAAGUCUUUACGGAGAAAGCUUUAUGCGCCAAUGGAUGAGCCCGCACUUGAUUAGUUUGUUGGUGGGGUAAUGGCCUACCAAGACUUUGAUCAAUAGCUGAUCUGAGAGGAUGAUCAGCCACAUUGGGACUGAGACACGGCCCAAACUCCUACGGGAGGCAGCAGUAGGGAAUAUUGCACAAUGGAGGAAACUCUGAUGCAGCGAUGCCGCGUGAGUGAAGAAGGCCCUUGGGUUGUAAAGCUCUUUCGUCGGGGAAGAAAAUGACUGUACCCGAAUAAGAAGGUCCGGCUAACUUCGUGCCAGCAGCCGCGGUAAUACGAAGGGACCUAGCGUAGUUCGGAAUUACUGGGCUUAAAGAGUUCGUAGGUGGUUAAAAAAGUUGGUUGUGAAAUCCCGGGGCUUAACUCCGGAACUGCAAUCAAAACUUUUUAGCUAGAGUAUGAUAGAGGAAAGCAGAAUUUCUAGUGUAGAGGUGAAAUUCGUAGAUAUUAGAAAGAAUACCAAUUGCGAAGGCAGCUUUCUGGAUCAUUACUGACACUGAGGAACGAAAGCAUGGGUAGCGAAGAGGAUUAGAUACCCUCGUAGUCCAUGCCGUAAACGAUGUGUGUUAGACGUUGGAAAUUUAUUUUUAGUGUCGCAGCGAAAGCAAUAAACACACCGCCUGGGGAGUACGACCGCAAGGUUAAAACUCAAAUGAAUUGACGGGGACCCGCACAAGUAGUGGAGCAUGUGGUUUAAUUCGAAGAUACGCGCAGAACCUUACCAACACUUGACAUGUUCGUCGCGACUCUAAGAGAUUAGAGUUUUCGGUUCGGCCGGACGAAACACAGGUGCUGCAUGGCUGUCGUCAGCUCGUGUCGUGAGAUGUUGGGUUAAGUCCCGCAACGAGCGCAACCCUCACUUUUAGUUGCCAUCAUUUAGUUGGGCACUCUGAAAGAACUGCCAGUGAUAAGCUGGAGGAAGGUGGGGAUGACGUCAAGUCCUCAUGGCCCUUACGUGUUGGGCUACAC
rnacentral:rRNA from 1 species